UCCUCUCUGUGGUGGUCUCUCUGUUUUUCUUUUUUGAACAGUCUUACAACUGGAGUUGGUCUGUCAGAGGUAAAGUGAGUUGAAGAAAGGACCACCUACAGGAUAAGCCUGUCUAAGAUAAUGUUUUACUGUAACCAUCUGGCUUUUGAAUUGCUUUCUGGAUUAUUAUACAAUCUUGCUGUUGGAGUUGGUAUGUCCAAAGUCAAUGCUAUCUGAUAUCACUCCUGGUUGUCCACAAAGGAGCUACCAGUUCUUCUUUUGUUAUGGUGGUGAGGCUCUGUGACCUGCCUGGGAUCCGUGCUCAAUAAAUGCAUGAAUCUCUGCUUCUGGGGAAGAUAGGCAGGAAAUGUGGAAACAGCAGAAGCACAUCAAGAUGAUUUUAGUCAGCUGUUAAGAUCUGAAGGAAAACUUGAAGCUCACAAGGUUCAGGGAUCACCCUGCUGCGCCAGGCAGGAGGACCUACCCAGUAUGUUCCCUCCAUGCUGGAAUCGCCUACAGGCCCCAGCCCAAGAAUGGAGAGGCAUAGAACCGGGAGGCCACCUGCAGAAGGGACUAAGGGGUGAGUUCUCAGGAUGCCAUUGUCAACCAAAAUCAAUUCUACAAACAGUGGUGUGAAAGCCGACUCUGUCACAGAGACAGCAUGGCUGAAAUCGAGCACUGUUACUAGUGUCCUUGGGCAAAGACACUGGCCCUGGGGGUGCCAAGAGACAAACUUGGCCACUUGUCCCUAUAUGCCAAUCAAAGAGAUGAAUCGUGGUGAAGGGUGAGAAAGGGAGAACUGGCUCUGGAGCAUUCUCUCUCUCUCUCUCUCUCCAUGGGACCCAGGGCUUUGCAACAUACCAGGCAAGUGCUCUACCAUGGAAGGACAUCCCCAGCUCAGCCAAGGAAAGGAGUUUUUCAACACAGCCACACUGGGACAAACCGACACUGGGGCACAGUGACCAAAGAUCUGUCUUCCAGGGACUGACAGAAACUUUGUGGUUUUACAGAAAAGGGCAAUGAAGGAGGUUUGCAUAGCUGCUGGGGAGGUCGUCCUGGUCAGGUCAUUCUGGUUGAUCAUUAUCUCAGGACUGGUUCUGUAUGGCUCUGGAAAGGUCACCAUGGCUGGAGGGAUGGUUCUGUUCUGAUCACGAGAAGAUUACUCCUGCUCAGGGGGCAACCUCGGCUCUGAUAUGGCAUCACUGCUCAGGCUCCGGGAGAUGUCUCAUCAUGUCUAUGGUGGGUUGAACUGUGCUUCCAGGCUGUUGCUUUGAAGUAGUUUCAGUCCUUUGUCAGAGUGAUGCUUAUCCAUCAGGCCUAUUCCUGGAAUGCAGAUAAUUGCAAGAGGAAGUGGCUCAGAGAAAAAGCACUGAAGCCUUGGAAUGGAGUCAGAGAGCGCCAGGAUGGAGUCCGUCAGGCCCAAUCAGCUGAGAGACCCCCAUUUUCUUCUUUCAUGCAUCUGUGCCACGUUCUCCCUUUCCACAGGCCUCUCUCGGUGCCUCUUUUCCCUCCCCUUCACUCUUAGACCUGCUGUUUUAGGCUCCGGGAAGUAAGCGUGUUGGGAUUGGAGUCAAUACAAUGGGAGUAGCCUAGCACUCCAAGGUCAAUGACAACUGGGGAUCCAUCCAUUAUUCCUGAUGUUACAGACAUCGCAAGACCACCUGGGGCUGGAUGGAGUGGCUCACACCUGUAACCCCAGGAGCUCAGGAGGCUGAGGCAGAAAGAUU